rnacentral:lncRNA from 1 species
GGACUCUCUUCCAGAGUUUCAGUUCCAGUGGGACUCUUCACCAAAGUCACACUUCAAUUGAACUCUUCAGCCAUUAGAUCUGAUCGAAUCUUUUAAUGUGUAUGAUCCCAUAGGUUCAAACCUAAACUGAUAGCAUAGGAACAACUUCUUAUACUAAUCAAUGCAACCAUCUAGCAAUGAGACCUAACGUCCGGAUAGGCUGAAGAUUGUAAAGUAACAUUCUAGAACCU